rnacentral:tRNA from 1 species
AAAGCUUCAAGACAAACUGCUAAUUUGUAUAAUAGACAAAAUCUAAGCUUUU